UACGGAGGGGGUUAGCGUUGUUCGGAAUGACUGGGCGUAAAGCGCGCGUAGGCGGAUCGGAAAGUCGGGGGUGAAAUCCCGGGGCUCAACCCCGGAAUGGCCUUCGAAACUCCCGGUCUUGAGUUCGAGAGAGGUGAGUGGAAUUCCGAGUGUAGAGGUGAAAUUCGUAGAUAUUCGGAGGAACACCAGUGGCGAAGGCGACUCACUGGACAUGUAUUGACGCUGAGGUGCGAAAGCGUGGGGAGCAAACAGG
rnacentral:rRNA from 1 species